UCUGAGAUGGAAGAUGGCGAGAAAAGCUGUGUGUAUUUCUGAGGUGCCCGUACCGCAAACCGACACAGGUAGGUAGGAAGAAGAUUCUAAGGCCAACGGGAGAAGGGUUGUUAAGGAACUCGGCAAAUUGACCCCGUAACUUCGGGAGAAGGGGUGCUCCAGAGAUGGAGCCGCAGAGAAUCGGCCCAAGCAACUGUUUACCAAAAACACAGGUUUGUGCUAAAUCGAAAGAUGACGUAUAUGAGCUGACGCCUGCCCGGUGCUGGAAGGUUAAGAGGAGAUGUGCAAGCAUUGUAUCGAAGCCCCAGUGAACGGCGGCCGUAACAAUAACGGUCCUAAGGUAGCGAAAUUCCUUGUCAGGUAAGUUCUGACCCGCAUGAAAGGCGUAAUGAUUUGGGCACUGUCUCAACAGCCCGCCCGGCGAAAUUGUAGUACCGGUGAAGAUGCCGGUUACCCGCGACAAGACGGAAAGACCCCAUGGAGCUUUACUGUAGCCUAAUAUUGGGUUUCGAUGUUGCAUGCACAGGAUAGAUGGGACACAGGGAAACAAUCGCUUUGGCGGUUGCGGAGUGGCCGUUGGGAUACCAUCCUUGCGAUAUUGGAAUUCUAACCUGCGGCUCUGAAUCGAGUCGGGGGACAUUGUUAGGUGGGCAGUUUGACUGGGGCGGUCGCCUCCUAAAAAGUAACGGAGGCGUUCAAAGGUUCGCUCAGCUUGAACGGAAAUCAAGCAAAAGAGUGCAAACGCAGAAGCGAGCCUAACUGCGAGACUGACGGGUCGAGCAGUAACGAAAGUUGGAGUUAGUGAUCCGGUGGUAUGUGAGUGGAAAUGCCAUCGCUCAACGGAUAAAAGUUACCCUGGGGAUAACAGGCUGAUCUCCCCCAAGAGUCCACAUCGACGGGGAGGUUUGGCACCUCGAUGUCGGCUCAUCGCAUCCUGGGGCUGUAUUCGGUCCCAAGGGUUUGGCUGUUCGCCAAUUAAAGCGGUACGCGAGCUGGGUUCAGAACGUCGUGAGACAGUUCGGUCCCUAUCUGUCGUGGGCGCAGGAUAUUUGAUGGGAGCUGUCCCUAGUACGAGAGGACCGGGACGGACGUACCUCUGGCGCACCAGUUGUUCCGCCAGGAGCAUAGCUGGGCAACUACGUACGGAUCGGAUAAACGCUGAAAGCAUCUAAGCGUGAAGCCGACCCAAAGAUAAGAUAUCCCACUGAUUAGAUCAGGUAAGAUCCCUUGAAGACUACAAGGUUGAUAGGCACGAUGUGUAAGUGGAGUGAUCCAUUCAGCAAGAGUGUACUAAUAGAUCGAGGGCUUGACU
rnacentral:rRNA from 1 species